GCCCUUUUCCGGUUGAUCCUGCCGGAGGCCAUUGCUAUCGGGGUCCGAUUUAGCCAUGCUAGUCGAACGAGUUGAGACUCGUGGCGACCAGCUCAGUAACACGUGGCCAACCCACCCUGUAGACCGGAAUAGUCUCGGGAAACUGAGGGCAAUACCGGAUAGGCGAUCCGCGCUGGGAUGCGGGAUCGCCGAAAGGUGAGCCGCUACAGGACGGGGCUGCGGCCGAUUAGGUAGACGGUGGGGUAACGGCCCACCGUGCCAGUAAUCGGUACGGGUCAUGAGAGUGAGAGCCCGGAGACGGACUCUGAGACAAGAGUCCGGGCCCUACGGGGCGCAGCAGGCGCGAAACCUUUACACUGCACGCGAGUGCGAUAAGGGGACCCCGAGUGCGGAGGCAUAGUGCCUUCGCUUUUCUGGACUGUAGGGACGUCCAGGAAGAAGGGCUGGGCAAGACCGGUGCCAGCCGCCGCGGUAAUACCGGCAGCCCGAGUGAUGGCCGAUAUUAUUGGGCCUAAAGCGUCCGUAGCUGGCCGCGUACGUCCGUCGGGAAAUCCACGCGCUCAACGCGUGGGCGACCGACGGAGUCGGCGCGGCUUGGGACCGGAAGGCGCGACGGGUACGUCCGGGGUAGGAGUGAAAUCCUAUAAUCCCGGACGGACCGCCGAUGGCGAAAGCACGUCGCGAGGACGGCUCCGACAGUGAGGGACGAAAGCUGGGGUCUCGAACCGGAUUAGAUACCCGGGUAGUCCCAGCCGUAAACGAUGCCUGUUUAGGUGUGGCACUCGCUAC
rnacentral:rRNA from 1 species